rnacentral:rRNA from 1 species
CAUGCAAGUCGAACGAUGAACCCCAGCUUGCUGGGUGGAUUAGUGUCGAACGUGUGAGUAACACGUGAGUAACCUGCCCUUAACUCUGGGAUAAGCCUGGGAAACUGGGUCUAAUACCGGAUAGGAGCGCCUACCGCAUGGUGGGUGUUGGAAAGAUUUAUCGGUUUUGGAUGGACUCGCGGCCUAUCAGCUUGUUGGUGAGGUAAUGGCUCACCAAGGCGACGACGGGUAGCCGGCCUGAGAGGGUGACCGGCCACACUGGGACUGAGACACGGCCCAGACUCCUACGGGAGGCAGCAGUGGGGAAUAUUGCACAAUGGGCGCAAGCCUGAUGCAGCGACGCCGCGUGAGGGAUGACGGCCUUCGGGUUGUAAACCUCUUUCAGUAGGGAAGAAGCGAAAGUGACGGUACCUGCAGAAGAAGCACCGGCUAACUACGUGCCAGCAGCCGCGGUAAUACGUAGGGUGCGAGCGUUAUCCGGAAUUAUUGGGCGUAAAGAGCUCGUAGGCGGUUUGUCGCGUCUGUCGUGAAAGUCCGGGGCUUAACCCCGGAUCUGCGGUGGGUACGGGCAGACUAGAGUGCAGUAGGGGAGACUGGAUUCCUGGUGUAGCGGUGGAUGCGCAGAUAUCAGG